rnacentral:rRNA from 1 species
AAGCAGGGGAUCGUAAGACCUUGCGCUUUUGGAGCGGCCGAUGUCUGAUUAGCUAGUUGGUGGGGUAAUGGCCUACCAAGGCUACGAUCAGUAGCUGGUCUGAGAGGACGGCCAGCCACACUGGGACUGAGACACGGCCCAGACUCCUACGGGAGGCAGCAGUGGGGAAUUUUGGACAAUGGGCGCAAGCCUGAUCCAGCCAUGCCGCGUGAGUGAAGAAGGCCUUCGGGUUGUAAAGCUCUUUCAGCCGGGAAGAAAAGGUUGCGACUAAUAAUCGCAAUUCAUGACGGUACCGAAAGAAGAAGCACCGGCUAACUACGUGCCAGCAGCCGCGGUAAUACGUAGGGUGCGAGCGUUAAUCGGAAUUACUGGGCGUAAAGGGUGCGCAGGCGGUUUUGUAAGUCAGAUGUGAAAUCCCCGGGCUUAACCUGGGAACUGCGUUUGAAACUACAAGGCUUAG